rnacentral:rRNA from 1 species
AAUAGUACGUGUUAUGGUAACAUAGUAUGAGACUUCUUAGAGGGACAUUUCGGGUUUACCGGAAGGAAGUUUGUGGCAAUAACAGGUCUGUGAUGCCCUUAGAUGUUCUGGGCAGCACGCGCGCUACACUGACGACUUCAACAAGUUUUUUUCUUUGAAAAAGUCCUUGGCUGGAAAGUCUGGGUAAUCUUUUAAACGGUCGUCGUGAUGGGGCUAGAUUCUUGCAAUUAUUAAUCUCCAACGAGGACCC